rnacentral:rRNA from 1 species
GGUAAACGCUGGCGGCGUGCCUAAAACAUGCAAGUCGAACGGAUAGUCGCAAGAUUAUCAGUGGCAGACGGCUGAGUAACGCGUGGGUGACGUGCCGAUAGGUGGGGAAUAACUGCCCGAAAGGGUGGCUAAUACCGCAUACGUCCACUGAUUCGAUUCAGUGGGGAAAGCUUCGCAAGAGGCGCCGAUAGAGCGGCCCGCGUCCGAUUAGCUGGUUGGNGGGGUAACGCCACCAAGGCGACGAUCGGUAGCUGGUCUUAGAGGAUGAUCAGCCAGACUGGGACUGAGACACGGCCCAGGACUCCUACGGGAGGCGAGCAGUUAGGAAUUUUGGGCAAUAGGGCGCAAGCCUGACCCAGCAACGCCGCGUGGGUGACGAAGGCCUUCGGUU